rnacentral:tRNA from 2 species
GUAGAUAUAGUUUAACAAAAACAUUAGACAGUGACUCUAAAAAGCAGGGGUUAAACCCCCCUUAUCCACC